rnacentral:rRNA from 1 species
CCCUUAGAUGUUCUGGGCUGCACGCGCGCUACACUGAUGCGUUCAACGAGCAUAUUUUAACCUUGCCCGAUAGGGUUGGGUAAUCUUUUGAACACGCAUCGUGAUGGGGAUAGAUUAUUGUAAUUAUUAAUCUUCAACGAGGAAUUCCUAGUAAUGGUGAAUCAUCAGUUCAUCGUGAUUACGUCCCUGCCCUUUGUACACACCGCCCGUCGCUCCUACCGAUUGAGUGGUCCGGUGAGGCUUUGGGAUCUGAGCGGAAAGAGCGUUUCGCUGUUUCUGCUCGGAAAACUCAGUCGAACCUUAUCAUUUAGAGGAAGGAGAAGUCGUAACA